CCCGCACAAGCGGUGGAGCAUGUGGUUUAAUUCGACGCAACGCGCAGAACCUUACCAGCCCUUGACAUCCCGGUCGCGGGGACCAGAGAUGGACCCCUUCAGUUCGGCUGGACCGGAGACAGGUGCUGCAUGGCUGUCGUCAGCUCGUGUCGUGAGAUGUUGGGUUAAGUCCCGCAACGAGCGCAACCCUCAUCCUUAGUUGCCAUCAUUCAGUUGGGCACUCUAAGGAAACUGCCGGUGACAAGCCGGAGGAAGGCGGGGAUGACGUCAAGUCCUCAUGGCCCUUAUGGGCUGGGCUACACACGUGCUACAAUGGCGGUGACAAUGGGCUGCGAGCCUGCAAAGGUCGGCAAAUCCCAAAAAGCCGUCUCGGUUCAGAUUGUCCUCUGCAACUCGAGGGCAUGAAGUCGGAAUCGCUAGUAAUCGUGGAUCAGCAUGCCACGGUGAAUACGUUCCCGGGCCUU
rnacentral:rRNA from 1 species